CCUACGGGUGGCAGCAGUAGGGAAUCUUCCACAAUGGACGAAAGUCUGAUGGAGCAACGCCGCGUGAGUGAAGAAGGGUUUCGGCUCGUAAAGCUCUGUUGGUAGUGAAGAAAGAUAGAGGUAGUAACUGGCCUUUAGUUGACGGUAAUUACGGAGAAAGGCACGGCUAACUACGUGCCAGCAGCCGCGGUAAUACGGAGGUGGCAAGCGUUGUCCGGAUUUAUUGGGCGUACAGCGCGUGCAGGCGGUUCCAUAAGUCUGAUGGGAAAGCCUUCGGCUCAACCGGAGAAUUGCAUCAGAAACUGUUGAACUUGAGUGCAGCAGCGGCGAGUGGAACUCCAUUUGUAGCGGU
rnacentral:rRNA from 1 species